UACGGAGGGAGCUAGCGUUAUUCGGAAUUACUGGGCGUAAAGCGCACGUAGGCGGCUUUGUAAGUUAGAGGUGAAAGCCUGGAGCUCAACUCCAGAACUGCCUUUAAGACUGCAUCGCUUGAAUCCAGGAGAGGUGAGUGGAAUUCCGAGUGUAGAGGUGAAAUUCGUAGAUAUUCGGAAGAACACCAGUGGCGAAGGCGGCUCACUGGAGCUGGUAUUGACGCUGAGG
rnacentral:rRNA from 1 species